rnacentral:rRNA from 1 species
GAGUUGUAAUUUGGAGAGGGCAACUUUGGGGCCGUUCCUUGUCUAUGUUCCUUGGAACAGGACGUCAUAGAGGGUGAGAAUCCCGUGUGGCGAGGAGUGCGGUUCUUUGUAAAGUGCCUUCGAAGAGUCGAGUUGUUUGGGAAUGCAGCUCUAAGUGGGUGGUAAAUUCCAUCUAAAGCUAAAUAUUGGCGAGAGACCGAUAGCGAACAAGUACAGUGAUGGAAAGAUGAAAAGAACUUUGAAAAGAGAGUGAAAAAGUACGUGAAAUUGUUGAAAGGGAAGGGCAUUUGAUCAGACAUGGUGUUUUGUGCCCUCUGCUCCUUGUGGGUAGGGGAAUCUCGCAUUUCACUGGGCCAGCAUCAGUUUUGGUGGCAGGAUAAAUCCAUAGGAAUGUAGCUUGCCUCGGUAAGUAUUAUAGCCUGUGGGAAUACUGCCAGCUGGGACUGAGGACUGCGACGUAAGUCAAGGAUGCUGGCAUAAUGGUUAUAUGCGAACACGUCUUG